UAGGGAAUUUUGGACAAUGGGCGAAAGCCUGAUCCAGCGACGCCGCGUGGGGGAUGAAGGCCUCCGGGUUGUAAACCCCUGUUUCGAGGGAAGAAGCCACCGCAAGGAUGGUGACGGUACCUCGGGAGGAAGCCCCGGCUAACUACGUGCCAGCAGCCGCGGUAAGACGUAGGGGGCAAGCGUUAUCCGGAUUCACUGGGCGUAAAGGGCGCGUAGGCGGCUAUGUAAGUCCGGCGUGAAAUCCCAGGGCUCAACUCUGGAACUGCGUCGGAUACUGCAUUGGCUUGAGGAUGGUAGAGGCUCGUGGAACUAGCGGUGUAGCGGUGAAAUGCGCAGAUAUCGCUAGGAACGCCGGUGGCGAAGGCGACGGGCUGGGCCACUCCUGACGCUGAGGCGCGAAAGCCAGGGGAGCGAACCGGAUUAGAUACCCCCGUAGUCC
rnacentral:rRNA from 1 species